GCGGAGGAAAAGAAACCAACAGGGAUUGCCCUAGUAACGGCGAGUGAAGCGGCAACAGCUCAAAUUUGAAAUCUGGCGUCUUCGGCGUCCGAGUUGUAAUUUGCAGAGGGCGCUUUGGCAUUGGCAGCGGUCCAAGUUCCUUGGAACAGGACGUCACAGAGGGUGAGAAUCCCGUACGUGGUCGCUAGCCUUUACCGUGUAAAGCCCCUUCGACGAGUCGAGUUGUUUGGGAAUGCAGCUCUAAAUGGGAGGUAAAUUUCUUCUAAAGCUAAAUACUGGCCAGAGACCGAUAGCGCACAAGUAGAGUGAUCGAAAGAUGAAAAGCACUUUGGAAAGAGAGUUAAAAAGCACGUGAAAUUGUUGAAAGGGAAGCGCUUGCAGCCAGACUUGCCUGUAGUUGCUCAUCCGGGUUUCUACCCGGUGCACUCUUCUACGGGCAGGCCAGCAUCAGUUUGGGCGGUUGGAUAAAGGUCUCUGUCAUGUACCUCUCUUCGGGGAGAACUUAUAGGGGAGACGACAUGCAACCAGCCUGGACUGAGGUCCGCGCAUCUGCUAGGAUGCUGGCGUAAUGGCUGUAAGCGGCCCGUCUUGAAACACGGACCAAGGAGUCUAACAUCUAUGCGAGUGUUUGGGUGUCAAGCCCGAGCGCGUAAUGAAAGUGAACGGAGGUGGGAACCUUUCGGGGUGCACCAUCGACCGAUCCUGAUGUCUUCGGAUGGAUUUGAGUAAGAGCAUAGCUGUUGGGACCCGAAAGAUGGUGAACUAUGCUUGAAUAGGGUGAAGCCAGAGGAAACUCUGGUGGAGGCUCGCAGCGGUUCUGACGUGCAAAUCGAUCGUCAAAUUUGGGCAUAGGGGCGAAAGACUAAUCGAACUAUCUAGUAGCUGGUUCCUG
rnacentral:sRNA from 2 species